GACGAACGCUGGCGGCGUGCUUAACACAUGCAAGUCGAACGGAAAGGCCCUGCUUUUGUGGGGUGCUCGAGUGGCGAACGGGUGAGUAACACGUGAGUAACCUGCCCUUGACUUUGGGAUAACUUCAGGAAACUGGGGCUAAUACCGGAUAGGAGCUCCUGCUGCAUGGUGGGGGUUGGAAAGUUUCGGCAGUUGGGGAUGGACUCGCGGCUUAUCAGCUUGUUGGUGGGGUAGUGGCUUACCAAGGCUUUGACGGGUAGCCGGCCUGAGAGGGUGACCGGCCACAUUGGGACUGAGAUACGGCCCAGACUCCUACGGGAGGCAGCAGUGGGGAAUAUUGCACAAUGGGCGGAAGCCUGAUGCAGCAACGCCGCGUGCGGGAUGACGGCCUCCGGGUUGUAAACCGCUUUCGCCUGUGACGAAGCGUGAGUGACGGUAAUGGGUAAAGAAGCACCGGCUAACUACGUG
rnacentral:rRNA from 1 species